rnacentral:tRNA from 1 species
ACUCAUUUGGUGGAAUUGGUAGACACGACAGACUUAAAAUCUGUUUCUUUUUAGGAGUACCGGUUCAAUUCCGGUAAUGGGUA